UGUAUGGCGGUAAUGGAUAUGGCUCACAGCCAAUGAAUGGCUACAGGACAAAUGGUGCCUAUGCCAGGGCUGGUCUUGGCCUGGGUGGAAGCCUCUCGGCUGGAUACUCUAAUGGAGGAGGCCAAAAAAGACCCACGCGGGGUUACGGCGGUCCCAAUGGACAAGGUGUUAAACCCAAUGGUUAUGGUGCUCCUGCAGCUGUGCCAAAUGGAAAUGGUGCUAAAAAAAACAAAGGCUAUGGUGCUGGAGCUGAUGUGCCAAAUGGACAAGGUGCCAAACCCAAUGGUUAUAGUGCUGGAGCUGGUGUACCCAAUGGACAAGGAGCUAAACCCAAUGGUUAUGGUGGUGUACCCAAUGGAUAUGGUUCCAGACCCAGUGGGUAUGGAUAUCCCAAUGGUGGGGCAAAGGCACCCAAACCAGGUUAUGGUGCUGGAGCUGGUGUGUCCAAUGGACAAGGAGCUAAUGGUUAUGGAAAUGGAUCACCUCAACCUCAAAAUACUAAAGGUGUCGGAGCAGGUGCACCCAUUGGAGGAACUGAAGCGUCCAAGGGAGGAGCUAAAGCACCAAAUGGUGGGUAUGGUGUUCCUGCUGGUGUACCCAAUGGACAUUUGGCUAAAGUAGUCAAUACUGGUUACGGCAUGCCAAAUGGAUACAGCAUGUCAAAUGGUCAGGGUACUAAAGGUGUUGGUGCACCGAAUGGAAAGGGCCCCAAAGGUGAAGUUCUUACUCCUGAAGCACUAAACCUUGCACCGGCACCUGAGCCAGGAUUUGUAGUACCUGAGCCAACAAAGGGUGUAGCUCUAAUCUUUCCACAAGGGAAGACAUACCCUAAGCCAGCACCAGUUCCACAAGGGAAGCUUUUCACUAAGCCAGUACCUAUAGUACCACAGGCAAAGAGUCCAAAGACAGUGCCAGAGCCAGCACCGGUUCCACAAGGAAAGACAUACGCUAAGCCAGCACCAAAGCUAGCACCUGUCGUUCCACAAGGAAAGCCGUGCCCUAACAAAGCACCAGCGGCAGCACCAGUUCCACAAGGGAAGACAUACCCGAAGCCAGCCCCAAAGCCAGCAGCUGUAGUACCACAGGCAAAGAGUCCGAAGCCAGCGCCGGUUCCACAAGGGAUGCCGUACCCUGAGCCAGCACCUGUUGUUUCACAAGGGAAGCCGUACCCUGAGCCAGCACCUGUCGUUUCACAAGGGAAGCCGUACCCUGAGCCAGCACCUGUCGUUUCACAAUGGAAGCCGUACCCUGAGCCAGCACCUGUCGUUUCACAAUGGAAGCCGUACCCUGAGCCAGCACCUGUCGUUUCACAAGGAAAGACGUACCCUAAACUAGCACCAGAGCCAGCCUCACAGGCAAAAAGUCCAAAGCCAGUGGCACCAGCCGUGCCUCAAGGAAAGAGUCCCAAAGUACCAGAUAUGGGUAAAACUCUACUAUUCUCUGCAUGUCCAUGA
rnacentral:lncRNA from 13 species